rnacentral:rRNA from 1 species
GAUGAACGCUGGCGGCGUGCCUAAUACAUGCAAGUCGAGCGAACAGACGAGGAGCUUGCUCCUCUGACGUUAGCGGCGGACGGGUGAGUAACACGUGGAUAACCUACCUAUAAGACUGGGAUAACUUCGGGAAACCGGAGCUAAUACCGGAUAAUAUAUUGAACCGCAUGGUUCAAUAGUGAAAGACAGUUUUGCUGUCACUUAUAGAUGGAUCCGCGCCGCAUUAGCUAGUUGGUAAGGUAACGGCUUACCAAGGCAACGAUGCGUAGCCGACCUGAGAGGGUGAACGGCCACACUGGAACUGAGACACGGUCCAGACUCCUACGGGAGGCAGCAGUAGGGAAUCGUCCGAAAUGGGCGAAAGCCUGACGGAGCAACGCCGCGUGAGUGAUGAAGGUCUUCGGAUCGUAAAACUCUGUUAUUAGGGAAGAACAAAUGUGGAAGUAACGAUGCACGUCUUGACGGUACCUAAUCAGAAAGCAACGGCUAACUACGUG